AUACGGAGGGUGCAAGCGUUACUCGGAAUCACUGGGCGUAAAGCGCGCGCAGGCGGCUUGAUAAGUUGGAUGUGAAAGCCUACGGCCCAACCGUAGAACUGCAUCCAAAACUGUCAGGCUAGAGAGUGGGAGAGGGAGAUGGAAUUAGUUGUGUAGGGGUAAAAUCCGUAGAGAUAACUAGGAAUACCAAAAGCGAAGGCAAUCUUCUGGAACACUACUGACGCUGAGGCGCGAAGGCGUGGGGAGCAAACAGGAUUAGAUACCCCAGUAGUCC
rnacentral:rRNA from 1 species